rnacentral:pre_miRNA from 1 species
UAAAUACUCCCUCUGUUCGAAAUACUUGUCUUAAGGAUGAAUGUAUCUAGACUUAUUUUAGUUAUAAAUACAUCAAUUGUAUCCAUUUUAGGACAAGUAUUUUCGGACGGAGGGAGUAUAAG